GAAAAAGUAAGAUACAUUUGUCAAAUAACAUUUACUCCAAAGCAUCAAGAUUCGCAGCGGCAAUGAAUCAAUUGCUAACGAGGUCGGAUCUCAAUUACUGAUUCCCAGAAUAUUUGGCGUUAUUUAGAUAAGGAGGUACAAUUUAACCUUUAUCUCGUUCUCAUUUCUAUUGAUUGUUGAAUAGUGCGUUUAUUUUGAAACAAUAAUAUUUCUGUCACCCUUGCAUCAAUAAUUGCAGGUAGAAUGACUAUACCCCACAAUAUAUUCGAUAACAGGACUUCCCCGCGAAGACAAUACUUGUUGUCAAAAAGACGUGACCGUGGGACACAAUGGAAUAAUAAAUAAUUGCAUAAAGUGAUGGUAGUGCGCGGUUGGGCGACCGUCCAUGAUGCUGGGCAGAAAGAGACGACACAGAUCUGUAAUUUACACACUCUCAGAAUUUGGGCAGACAACACAUAGGAAAAGACCAAGGAGAUGAUAAAUUCACACAGUUU